rnacentral:rRNA from 1 species
GACGAACGCUGGCGGCGUGCUUAACACAUGCAAGUCGAACGGAUUGCUUGGUGCUUGCACUGAGUGGUUAGUGGCGAACGGGUGAGUAACACGUGAGUAACCUGCCCCCUUCUUUGGGAUAAGCACCUGAAAGGGUGUCUAAUACUGAUUAUUCUGCUGGAAUCGCAUGGUUUUGGUUGGAAAGGUUUUUCUGGUGGGGGAUGGGCUCGCGGCUUAUCAGCUUGUUGGUGGGGUAAUGGCUUACCAAGGCUUUGACGGGUAACCGGCCUGAGAGGGUGACCGGUCACAUUGGGACUGAGAUACGGCCCAGACUCCCACGGGAGGCAGCAGUGGGGAAUAUUGCACAAUGGACGAAAGUCUGAUGCAGCGACGCCGCGUGAGGGAUGAAGGCCUUCGGGUUGUAAACCUUUUUCGCUUUUGACCAAGGCAGCAUUUUGGUGUUGUUGAGGGUAUGAGGUAAAGAAGCUCCGGCUAACUACGUGCCAGCCGCCGCCGUAACAC